rnacentral:rRNA from 1 species
UAGGGCCAUACCACCCUGAACACGCCCAAUCCCGUCUGAUCUCAGAAGCUAAGCACUGUUGGGCCUGGUUAGUACUUGGAUGGGAGAAAAAAGGGGAAACACUAC